CUAUCAAGGAUUCCCCCAGUAACGGCGAGUGAAGCGGGACAGCUCAAAUUUGAAAUCUCCGAUGCCUGCAUCGGCGAGUUGUAGUUGCGAGAAGCACUUUCUAGGUGGAUCGGUGGCGCCUAAGUUGCUUGGAACAGCACGUCGCAGAGGGUGACAACCCCGUCUGUGGCGUCGCCGGCCGCUGACGAUGUGCUUUCGAAGAGUCGGGUUGUUUGGGAAUGCAGCCCAAAAUGGGUGGUAAACUCCAUCUAAAGCUAAAUAUCGGCGUGAGACCGAUAGCGAACAAGUACCGUGAGGGAAAGAUGAAAAGAACUUUGAAAAGAGAGUUAAAAAGUACGUGAAACCGUUGAAAGGGAAACGAAUGAACUCAGCAAUGCGCCGUUUGAGAUUCAGCCGGCGGGCGGCACCGGCCCGGGUGUUUGCGGAUCCGAAUGGACCGCGGUCCCGGGCUCGGGGUCUUCCCGCCGUCGCACUUCUCUUGGGCGCGCGUCAACGUCGGUUGGGACUGGGUCUGAAAGGUGCCGGAAAGGUAGGUGCGCGAGCCCGGCGGUCUCAUGGCUCGGGCCCGACCGAGGAGUGGCAGCGCAUGCCUCCUGUGGCUAGGGUCCCGUCCCUCCGGCCGGUCGUCGAAGGCGGUGGACUGCUUGCAGUGCUCCGCGACCGCUGCCGGUCGUUGUGGGUGGUGAUCUCGUACCAUGCGCUUGGGACGUUGGCGGUCAUAUGGGUNC
rnacentral:rRNA from 1 species